UUAUUGCCCCUCCCAACACACCGGCCUCACUCUUUUCCCCUGAAAACCCUACCACAUGUCUUCACUCUUCAAUUGCAGCAGAUGAAGCGUCUGGACUUCCAGCAGUUUCCAUCGUCCCCUCAGCUCUAUAAUAACUAUACAGACUAUAGAGAAAAAUAGAGACUUGGAGAGACAAUAGCCCGGUUUGUUUGCAUAAGUCCUCCUGAGAUGACGCCGGGUCAGUGAUGAUGGUGUUCGAAUGAUGGCGGUGGUAGGUUGUGGACAAAGCGAAGCCGACGAUGGCUUUAGGGUUCCGUCGCAAGUCAGUCAAGGGGAUAUUAGGAUCCGGGCAGAGCCAUACCUAGGGUUCCGAUUGACAAUUCCAGGGGUGUAAUCGGUGUGUAAUAGGUGUUUAAAAGGACGGAUUGAAACAACCCCUCUUCAUCUCGCCAAAAACCUAAUCGAUUCGUCAACCACCACAUCUGCAGAUGUAUGAUCUUUGCCACUUAUACAAGUUAUGGACGAGAAAAUGGACGCAUCAGUGUUUUGUUUUAGCGUUUGGUGCCUAGCUGUUGCUGCUGCUAUAUGCUGUUAUUACUGUUAAGAGGUGGCAAGCUAAUGCGGUUUGUUUUCGAGCCUAUUGGAUUAUGUUGAACAAAGGUUGGGGUCAUCUGUACAGGAGAUCAACUUCAAAUUGGCGUAUAUCUACAUUAUAGAGUGCUCUUUUGCUCUGUAUGAAAGGAGAGAUGUUACUGGAUCUUGGUAUGGUGUUCGCUUUCAAGACUCCACAUGUUAUCCUAAACCUGGUUCUGUGAGAAUAAUUAAAGCUGAAGCUUUAACUUUGGAGUCGAACUACAGCAGUGAAAACACACUGGAGUUAUGGGGCUGUUCUAUAUUCUUGUUGCAGACGCUUCUUUGAAUUUGAAUAAACAGGUUCAAAUUAAUGAAGAACCAAAAGUACUGAUCUUCUUUUGGGGUUUUGCUGUGUUUGGAUUGGCAGUUUGUGCUGCGGUUUUGGUUACUUAUCGAAGAAGAAACUAACAUGAGGAUGGGUAUCUGUCUAUUGCAACUUGAACAGCGUUUUCAUAUGAUUCGAGAGUCUGCGGAUGCUACGUGCAGAAUCUUGUUGGUUGGUAAAACUAUGAGUUUUACAAUACAUGUGAAACAUAUAAGUAUAUGUUACAAUAAAAUAAAGUUACCUCUUGUUUAUCACUUAUCCUUUGAGAUUUUGUCACUGAAAUUACAAUUGGAAAAAACAUAAAUAGCAAAUGACGUAUUGCAGUUUUUUUUUGUGGGCUUUAUACUUGUAUCAAAUUAGGUUCAUAUGAGUGUUUUGUGGCCGCAAAAUUCACUUUCACUCUUUUUCUUGUAGGAUUUUAAAUGACCUGACCGGAUCUGAAAGUUCUAAAAUAGAAACAAAGUGGAAUGAGGAGAAGAGGUUGUGAUUAUUGGUUUCAAUCGCAAAUACCAUAUCUAGAGUCGAUUGAUUGGUUACCUGGUCGCUAUGAAGAAUUGCCCUUGCCCAAAAGUGGGAGGUUUCGAGUGAAUUUUGUGAACCAUUUUGGGGUGUUGAGGUGAGGUUGGUAAGAAAUAAGGACACUAGCAUUCAGAAGUAAAGAUGAUGUUGAAUAGGCCAUUGAAGAGCUACAUGACAAAGAAUUUAAGUGAAAUUAGGGUAAGUUGAUAUAGAAACAAGAACUUUAAGAACAUGAGUAAUCAUCCGGCAACAGCGGUUGUCAAUGCGAAUUUUAUCUAUCAAGACAAGGAUCCAUAUACUCAUUGACCUUUGAUGAGCUGCAAAACACCAUGGGUAGUAGUAAUUGUAAAGAUUAUGGGUCCAUGAAAAUGGAUGAAUUGUUAAAAAGGAUUUGGAAUGCUGAAGAAAUUCAAACAAACAACACCGCCAACAGUGUACAAGAAGGCAUCAUGUAGUCAGGGCUGUGUAACGAUGUCCGGUUUGAAAGAGGUGUGCCCCUUCUUGUCAGAGUAGAGUUAUGCAACCGUGAAAAUUUUGAGUUAUCUGUUUAACAAGGAGUGGGCCACCCAAAGAAGCAACAAGGCUUUUGAAUCUGUUGAAAAUGUUUUUUUUUUAAUUAAAAGGACACCAUUUAUAGGGCUAGGCAAAAAUAACCUUUAAAACUGGUGGUUAUGUUGGUGGUGGCAACUGGAAAUCUAAACAUGGGACUACACAUUAUGGACAUAAUUUAGUGUUACAUGGCUCAAUGUACGUCGUUUGAAACCUGUAAAAAUAAAAAAAAAAUUUAUAAAAGUCUUUGAAGUUAAAUAAAUAUAUUAUCAAGUUUGUCUCAAUUUUUGUGUAAGCUCAGUCAAUUGGGUUUUAAAAAAAAAUAAGAAAUGUAAAUCCUAAAUGCUUUGCAGCUAUGUAAACUGUCCUUCCAUAAAUUGACACAUGAGGAACCCUUACAAUGAGAUAAGAGAUGUAAAUUUUAAA